UGCGCAUACAUAUGUGUGUGUCUAUGUGUAUUGUAUGUGAAUGUGUGGUAUAUGUAUGUGUACCCUGAUAAGUCUGUAAAUGUUAUGGAAGUGUCACUAGCUCCACUCUAAUUUUGCUUGCAUUCUAGGUAUAACACAAAGUAAGUCACUCCAGGGAUAGCAGGGACUUUUGAGCUUUGUUGUUUAGUUGUGUCCUCUAGUCAUGCUGUCACUGCAGUGAAGUGACAAGAUCUAGAAGGUGUUUACUAUGUCUUAGCCUCACUCAGGAAGAGAUGUCAAACUCUCCCAAGGGAAGAAGGUAUGCCUUCUCAGUAAACAAGGAUGCUAGUGAUGUUUUCAGUGGCCAUUUUCCUGCAACUAUUGGAAGCCUAAGAAUCCUGCUCUUCCAUAUCACAGCUGCAUAUGCCACACCCACCCACCAUUCCAGACUAUAGACUAUUUGUCCCUUUUGGUACAGCAGCUCCAGAACUGCCCAUCUCUUUAGGAGUUCUCAGGGCCCAGUGAUACAUCUUUAAGCAGUGACUGAUUCCCAGGUGUGGGGUCAUUAUCAAUCAAGGACACAGUACAGAGCCACUGACCUUUGGGAACUGUUUGGUAAAGAAAAUGACCUGUGAGCACUUCUCUUUGUGCCAGAGCUUUCUAAACACCAGUGAACACUAAACUCAGCUGGAAUUAUGUGGGGCAAAGGCCAGAGGUCUGGCUGGAAGAAGCCUUGGGAGGAGGAACCUGGAGGAGAGGAGGUCAGGCCAGGCUAUGGGAGAGCAGUGCAGUGGUUGCCCGGAACAGGCUUGUGCGGUGUCUGCUUGGCAUGUGUGGGAGGCUGAACAGAACGGGCAGCAUUCUGCACUGGCCUUGAAUAUAACUCAGAGUUUGCAAACUGAAGUGGCUCAGUACGAACAAUAGACUGUGACUUGGGGCCAGGAGUUUAGAACUGUUAAGGUAGUGCCUUCCUUAUUAGCAUGGUUUGAAGGGAAUCUCAGACGGAGGCAGACUGACUUCCAGGCUUCCCUUGACCUUCUGUCCUGUUUGGAAUUGUGGAUGUAUGCGUGUACAGGGUGUGUGUGUGUGUGUGUGUGUGUGUGUGUGUGUGUGUGUGUUGCACAUGCACACAUGUCUGCACAUGUACACAUGCAACACAUGCACACAUGCACUUUCAUCGAAGCCAGAGGUUGCUGUCAAAAGUCUUCUUUUAGUGCUUUCUACAUCUUAUUUUAAAGACAAUGUUUUCACUGAACUUGGAACUUGAGAUCCAAUUAUCGGCUAGCUUGGCUGGCCAGAGAGCUCAGGACAUUUUGAUGGAUUUCUAGAUCCAGAUGGGGCUCUCGUUCUGGAGGGCUUUGUGACAAAAGUAUGGGUUUGGAAAUGCCUUGUGUCUAUAGGUUUCCAUCUUAGCCAGUCUCCUACUUUUGCUUUUAGUUUGCUUUUUAAAAAUUAACAGAUAUUAUUUCUACAUACUAAUGUACUUCUUAUAUGCAUAUAAUUAACUUUUAUAAUAGUCACCCCAAAACCCUCUCUCAUGUGCUCCCAUUCCUGAUUUUCUUUGCUUUCUUUCCAACCAAUUGCCCCUCUACCAUCAUGUCCUAUUUAAUUACGUUCUGGUCGUGAUUCAGUGGAAGGUUUUACUGAGUUCAAUUGGGGUUUCUUACAUAAGAAGUGGUGUGGACUCUGUACAGGUGCACAGGAAAGCUAUCGGUGGCUAUAACGCUGAAGAAAGUGUCUCCUGUUCUCUAGAAACCAUCAAUGACCACAGGCUUCUCAAGGAGGAAUGGAGCCCUGCAGGUUCCUCCUCUGCCCAUGGUAAUGUUGAUAAGCCCAAUCUUGCACAGGUCUUGUGUGAGUUUGAGUACAUGGCCAUCUGAUUAUGCCCAUAGACAGUAUCCUGUGCCUUUCUAUCCUCUCCUUCCUCCAGACCUCACAUUCUUUCUACCUUCCCUUCUGCUGUGACCCCGAGUCAUGGAAGGAAUGACAGAGAUGUUCCCUUAUGGCUGACCACUCAACAGCCACUUCUUUUCAUCAUCUUGACCAGUUGUGAGUCUCUGUAGUAACCACUGUUUACUGCAAAAAGAAGCUUGGCUGGCCAAAGCUGAGAACAACAUAAAUCUGUUGGUACAUAAAAAUAUUUAGGCAGUUUGGUAGGCAUAGUAUGACUACUUAGCAAAAGAAAAGUUAUAGUUUCUCCAUUAGAGCUUCUGCUCUCCUCAGCCAUGGGCUUCUAAACUUGUUUAUAGUAACAUGAAUUAGUUCUCUCAAGUGGAGUGGGCCUCAGAUCCAAUCAGAAAGUGGUUGGUUUCCAUUUUAACAGUUCCGCCACUGUUGCACCAGUGGGUGUGUCUUGCUUGACAGGUUGGUAGUAUAGCAUGCAGUAAUCCUAGCUGGUUGAGACUGCUGAUUUUUCUCUCCCAGAAGCCUGGAUAGCACUUCCUAGCAGCACUAUGGAUAUUAGCUAGUUGGAAGGAAGCUUUCAGUUACAGCUUGAUUUCUCUGUGUCCUGAAACCAAACUAUCCUCUCAGCCAUAGAGACUUAUUCUUUAUCUGGUGGUGGCAAUGUUCUUUAUUGUUUGGGGACUGAAGGAGCUUCCCUGACCAACAACUUAUAGACACGUAACUGCUACUGGCUCAGCUGAUAUCUCUCUGUUUAUCUGCUGGCACAAAAUUUCCUGCUCCAAAUCCAAGCCCGGUACCUGCAAUUGUGCCAUAGCAGUUAGGGUUCGGGUGGAAGUGAGGCUUCCCCGUCCUGUGCAGAUCUGAUGGUGUCAGCUCUGUGAUAGAGACAUUGAGAUCAUGGUGCUCACUCCAAGGCUGAUUCAGUAUGAGAAUUCCAGACAGCUUGAGCCAGUGACUAGAUCAUAGGCCUUCCUUCUGCUCACCCCCUGCCCCCAGCUUCCUCCAGUCCUGGCUGCUUUUUGCUUCACUUCUUUAGCCUAUCAGUUUCUCGAUUUCUGGGAGGAUCCAUUCUGUCUCUACCUCAAUGUGAACUCUGCUGAGGCUGUUGGUCCAUAGCCUCUCCGCUUUCUAUUCUUGGCAACCAUUCUCCCUAGGGCUCAGUUUCCACAGCAUGUAGGGGUGACUUUACACUGCAGUCCACGUGGGAAGAUGGCUUCUGUGUCUUGAAGCCCUCCUUGCCUCCUUACCAGAAGCACAUUCUGAAGGAUGGACAAUUGUGGUCCCUGGUCAACAGGCUCCAAGGAAAACCUUGGACCAGGAAUUGGCAGGUCCCUAAGGACCCAAGGUAUUAAACUUGGAGCUUCCAGCUAUGGGCAUUCAGAACUGUCUGCCUGAGAAUUCUUCUUAGCUCCAACAAGGAGAAGCAGACACAAGAGGCAGAGCCCAUCCUUUUAUAGCUCAGGUUGCUGCCCUUAUUAUCCCAUUCGUGACCCACUCUGUAACUCCAGUAAGCACUCUUUCUAAAGUGUUGGUCCUCUGCCAUGCCUCUUUAGUUGGUGUCAUGGUUAGCUUCAGCUGUCAGCUUGACACAAACCUAGAAUCACCAGGCAAGAGAGGACCUCAACUAAGGAGUUGCCUAGAUCAGAUUUGCCUCUACCCAUACUUGCAGAAUUUUCUUAGUUGCUAAUUGAUGCCGGAGGGCCCAGCCCCCUAUAGGUAGUGCCAUUCUUAGGGUUGGCCUGGUCUCUAUAGAAAGAUAGCAGAGCAAGGCAGGAAGCAGUAUUCCUCCAUGAUCUUGGCUUCAGUUUCUGCUUCAAGAUCCUGCCCUGAGUUCUUGUCUUUACUUCUCCCACGAAUAUUAUCUGUAAAAAGAAUUAAACCCUUUCUUCUCUAAGGUGAUUUUGGUCAUGGUGUUUAUCACAGUAACAAAAAGCUUGUCUGCCCUGCAAGGAGGCUAUUAUGGUGAGGACCUGUUGCAUGAUUUCUGGGGGAGAUGAAAACGAUGUCUAUUUACCUCAGAUAGGGCACUGAUGAAAGACCAAAGAUGUGAACCCAUUAUAUUUUAGCCUGGAGAGCCAGUGAGUUCCUUACAGGGUCAGAGGUGACUCAAGGGCAGUGGUGACAUCACUGUAGGGCCCACUCUAGCAUGAGUGGACUUAGUGAAGCCAUAUCUCAAGCACUCUCCACAGGCAGCGAGGAAGACUCUUAAUGCUUAUGACUAUUUAACUUCCUGACUUUCUGGUCACCUCAGGAAGGGAUCUCUCAGGUUGGAAAGAAUGCUACCCAAUUAUGAGGCCAUUCUUGGAGGACAUCAGUACAUAGGAGUUUUUAGUUGAGAACAGGGUGAGUGAUAUUUCUGGGUGACAUCAGCUCCUGGCUUUCAUUCAGCACAGCCUUCUCUAAUGCUGUUGGGUACUUCAGUGGCAGCUGCCCUCUUUACAUUGCCCCUCUCCCAUCUAUGUCACUGUUGCCAGGGCUGAGAGCAAUGAUGCUGAGGAUGUCUUGGAUAGAUUCAGAAGGGCGUGGUACCUGCAUGUAGAUGCUGAGUUGUGUGGGUUUGUGACUUAUAGCUACGCUUCCACCCUUUGCAGGCCAGAAGUUAGGCCUUUCUGGAUACCCUAUUUACGCUGUCUUUGAUGCCCCUCCAAAUUAGGUGCUUUGGCUUGUUUGUUACUUUUGAGAUUCCUGUCUGUCUCUCCUGUAUGGCUGGAUUUUAUGAGACCGGACAAGAGUUUGUCUCCUUUGGCCAGUCAGGUAUGCAUGAGGGACAACAGAGAUAAUAGUGACAGCUCAGCUUUGAGGUGGAAUGGAGUGACCUGCAUCUUGAGCAGGUCCCCUGGAUGGACAGUGAGGCUGGAUUAUGGUGGUGUCAAAAUGCCAACCACCAAGCUGGUCUCUGACUAGUUUGUGUAUCCAAGGAACACAGGAGAAGACAAGGGAUAGUCUUACUGUAGUUGAAGCCAUCACGUGAAAGUGGGGGCCCUGAGGGAGGCUGGGUAGGGCAAAUCAUGAGUCAUAUCCACAGUCCCUGUGAGUCUGGGGUGACAGAGAACCACGACUCAGAGAACUGAAGAACAAUGUAAAGGAAAAAGACAGAGCUGAGUAGGCUAGUGGUUCAUGAUCUAAAAUAGCUCCCUGACUUCUUGUUCCUUCAUGCUACCAGCCUCUUUUCUUAUCCAGGAAAGAUUUGAGCAGAAAGUCCCCAGGGUCUUUAGGAAACACACACCAUGAAUUUUGGAACUCUCUCGCUCAGCAGCUCCCCAGCCAUACAAAAUCCUGAGCUGUGUACAGAGUCUUCUGGAAAGCCCCUAUCCCCUGGGAAUUGGGGAGCAAACACAGCCAGAAUUCUCAGGAUUCCUAUUAAAAAGGAAUGCAUACUCUUAUUUACAUCUGACUAGUGGUCUGUUCAUAUAAUAUGCAUGUAGGUCUCUGAUUAUGUGUUGUUAAUCAAAUUUAAUGCUCUAUUAUGUCAUUUAAGGAACACUGCAGCACCUUAAAGUAGCAUCUGCCACUACUACCAUGAGAUCUAGGUCUGAUGGAGAACUCAGAGGCUAUGAGGCUCAGGCCUUGUGUUCCCAAAGAAAAUCCCAGAAACAGAGAAUGUUGAUUCACCAUGCAGUAGAACACGUCUGACGCGUCAAUAUCUGAAUGGCCUGUGACAGUGUGGUUGUCUUGGCAAUAGCAGUGACCACCCACGAGCCAACAGACGUUUGAGAAAGGCACAGAAGAGUGAUGCCUUCCCAUUUGGAAAUAGAAUACCGAUCACAGCUGCUUGUCUGGAACUGGAGCUGGUGCAGUCUCUACAUUAUGUGGUGCACAGAAAGAACCCGUGAGCCUCAAGUCUAUGUUCUGGCCUGUCUGGGGACAGCUGUGGCAUUAAACAAGAUACCUUCCUCCCCUCCAACACCAGGGCAUGCCAAAUUUCAAAGGACUUUCUCAGGAGUUGCAUGAGCAAAUGUGUCCAGCUGUUCUCAUCAAGAGGGGCAGAGGAGAGAUGAGAAGAUCCAACUGUUUCUGGGAGCACACUUUGUCUUCUUUCCUCCUUUCUCAUGCUCACUCCAUAGCGCAGGAUUUAACAUGACUAGAGCAAGACUUCAGUAUCAAAGGCAAAUGAUGGACCCAGGUGUAUGUCCAUACUGAGGGAGUCACAGCCUGAAGAAAUGAAACCCUGAGAGAGUCAGAACUUCACAUUUUACAGCAUGCAGGAAGGACGCCUUUCUUGGUCCUGGAACUUCCUAGGGUGGACUGGGGGAGAUGAUAUGAGCUCAGUGCAGUCUAGUGGUAUUGGAAGCAGGUGUGGCUGUACUGUCAGGAUCUGGAUCUGCUCCCUUCAUGUCCUGGAGGCAGGAAUUUCAGCCACCCAAAUAUCCAGGCUGCCCACUCUGCCCUUGUACACUGUAUUAAGUCCUGUCCCUGAACACGCUAUGUUUAAUCUUUAACUCUCAAUGCUAUGGAUUAUAAAAUGUUGUGAGGGUACAGGUCUCCAGGAUGGGUUAGAUUAGUGACCUGUAAAAAGAGAAGCAGAUACAUAUGCAGCUAGAGACACAAGAUGGGGGGGGGGGGGGUCCUGGUUAGUUCACAUUGUUGUCCCACCUAGAGGGGUGCAGAUCCCUUUAGCUCCUUGGGUGUUUUCUCUAGCUCCUCCAUUGGGGGCUCUGUGUUCCAUCCAAUAGCUGACUGUGAGAAUCCACUUCUGUGUUUGCCAGGCCCCGGCAUAGCCUCACAAUGGAGAUAGCUAUAUCAUCAUUGGCAAGAGAGGCCCCUUGGUCUUGCAAACUUUAUAUGCCUCAGUAUGGGGGAACGAGAAGUGGGAAUGGGUGGGGAGGGAAGUCGGGGGGGGGAGGGUCUGGGGGACUUUUGGGAUAGCAUUUGAAAUGUAAAUAAAGAAAAUACUGAAUUCAAAAUAAAUAAAUAAAUAAAUAGAAAAAAAA